rnacentral:lncRNA from 1 species
UAGAAUGACCCAGAAGAUCAUGGGGCAUCUAAGCUUCUAGGAGGAUGUGAAGUUGUCCAUCUUCAGCAGUCUGGUUGAAGCUGGAGGAUAGAAUGACCCAGAAUAUCGUGGGGUGUCUAAGCUUCAAGGAGGAUGUGAAGUUGCACGUCUUGCAACUUGUGACUUGCACCUGGUGGGCAGCUGUUGCUAGGUAACUGUUGAGCAGCGCCUAGAGGAGAUGCUAACAUUCACAUUGGAUCUUUUUAUUUAUUUGUUUGUUUGUUUAUAUAAGUACACUGUAGCUGUCUUCAGACACACACCAGAAGAGGGCAUCAGAUCCCAUUACAGAUGGCUGUGAGCCACCAUGUGAUUGCUGGGAAUUGAACUCAGGACCUCUGGAAGAGUAGUCAGUGCUCUUAACCACUGAGCCAUCUCACUAGCCCCUCACGUAGGACCUUAAAGGAAAAAAGGUUUAUUUUGGCUCCUGAUUUGAGGGGCUAGUCCAUGCUGAUGGGGAAGUCAUGGUGGCAGCCGACUCCUUGGAUGUGUUAGUGUGCCUGCCACUGGUGUUCUCACUAUCUCCCUCUCGUCAGAACAGGAAGCAGAAGCAGAUAGACUAUAAGUAAGGCUCAAAGCUGACCCCUCGUGAUCUGCUUCAUCCAGCAAAGUCCCAAACAGUACCACCAACUGGGGACCAAAUGUUCAGAUACGUAGGCCCGUGGAGCACAUUUUACCUACAAAAAGCAUAGUACCUACCAACCCCUGUAGCUUUGUGUUUGACAUGUAAAUAAUCGAGAGACUUCCCCUGGAGUCUGGAGGGUCUCAGGAUUUGGCCUCAAGAUUCUGAUGGGAAAUUAAACUAGAUAGCAAAGGGUUUCAACCUGAAAGACUGGGCUUCUUGAGAACAUUUCAGAAAGGAAUUCCCUUCCCACCCUCUACUUCCAGGGGCUAGGGAUGUAGCUCAGUUGAUAGAGUGAGUGCUUACCUAGCAAACAUGGAGCUCUGGUGCCAGAGUCCAUAGUACUGCAUGAAAUGAGGCAUGUGGAUUCGUGCCUAUAAUCCUAGCACUUGGGAGGUUGAGGCAGGAGUUCAGGGUUAUCCUCUGUAUGUAGGAAGUUCAAAGCCAGCCUGGGCUAUAGGAGACCUUGUCUAUAAAAUAAAACAAAAGGACUCAUCUUCUAUACAAUGGAGGAGACAUCACAUCCUCGCUACAGAGAGGAAAAGAAGCUAGCUGAUGGUCCACUCUCAUGGCUGCUUCUUGUUCUCUGUGGUUUGUCGGUCCAUCAAAUUAUCCUGCUAGAGGAACUUUGCCACUUUCUACCUAAAAUAUAGGAAUGCACAAUCGUGCCAUAUUCUCUGUGGGUCCCAAAGGGCCCUUAAAUCCUACAGGGUAGAAGCCAGGGUCCUGUCUCUCAAGGCCCUGGUAGCCUUGUCACAUGAUGCCCCUUGGAUCCAUCAUCUAACCUUGCCCUUGCUAUUCUUUUCUGACUAACAUGGCCACUUCCCUCCCUCCCUAUCUUUGCCAGCCUUCCUAGGACUCGUUAAUGCAGCUGUGUGUGGUUCCGAAGCCUGGCACUCACCCCGGCAUACAGUGGUUUUCCCUUCUCCCCAAGUGCUGCAUUGGCCAUUCUGUUCAGUGCAGUUUCCUCCCCACCCCUCUCCCUUCCAUCCCCAAGUACUGUCUGGGGGAUGGAACCUAGGUCCUCAC